rnacentral:lncRNA from 1 species
UGCUUGACAAGAAAGAUUAUCCACCACAUUCUGCAUGAUCAUUCACCAAGCCACUCAACCCUAGCUCCUAAAUGCUUAAGCUUUCUCAAUGGAAUAACUUACAGUACUAACAUUUGACUUAAAUUUAGUCUGAUUUUUAUUUGAUAUAGUUGUAGAAGGAUGAAACACAAAUAUUCAAAUUAAACUUGUACUUGCCAAGUCACAACAUCACCCAAUUUACUCAACAUAUAAACUUCUAGUCAGAUGGGAGUUUCGAUUGCCAAGACAAGGGGCAUAAGAAAAAGAGGAUAGAUAGCAGUAGCGCCUUGCCCUUUAUCAGACAAGAAUGUGAUAAAGAGAUACAUGGAAAAAGAAUUGAGAAUGUAUUGCUUGAUCAUUCUACUAAGCAAUUGAGUGUUUAUACAGACAUCUAGUCAAAAUUAGGAAAGACAUAACUACAAAUAAAUAAUAUCUAUGUAAUUGAUUCUAUCUAAUAUACACAAUAUUCUCAAAGAGAGUCAAGCAAGGAGAAUAAUAGUCUCUUAUAAAGUUACUUAAUACAAUGUUAUCCUUCACUAAAAGCUACUUACUAAAAUAUUACCUUAAAAAAUAGUAGCAGUAGUAGUAGUAAUUACCAACAACAUACCGAGUGUAAUCCCACAAGUGGGGUCUGGGAGGGUGGUGUGCACGCAGCCUUACCACUACCUUGUGAAGGUAGAGAGACUAUUCCCAAUAGACCCUUUACUCAAAUAAAGCAUAUCAAAACCAAUGAGGAAAGGAAAUGCCAUAGUGAAGUAACCAUAUCGGUAGCAACAACAAACAGUACAAUAACCGAAGCAAAAAAACAAACAUGUAAUGAUAAAAUCGAAGCAUCAGAAGUAGUAGUUACCAAUUCAAUAAAGUACUAUGGAAAAUUAUGAGCCACUAUUAAGACACAAGAAAAAUGUGGUAAAUAGGUAAGAAUAGAAAAGGAUGGGUGUCUUAGAACUUCUGUAGAGUUUUGAAGGUGAGCUUUUGAAAGAAGUGAGUCU